UAUAUCCACAAGAUAUUUUUGCUACUGAUUAUAUGAAAUUUUAAAGCUAGUAUAUGAAAUUAAAUAAAAAUAAUGAUAAAUUUAUGAACAUACACAAUUAAAAACAUAAAAAAAUAAAAACAGUUUUACAAUUGUAAACGUGAACUUCAAGAUCGUGAAGUUCUAUUCUUUGUUCCGGAAGUUCAUCUUUUGACAUAUGGUACAAAAAUCACCCCCUUAAUUGUAAAAUGUGUAUGAAGAUAGUGCAUUUAAAUUAAAAAAAAAAAAAACUAUAGAUUCCAUAUAAAU
rnacentral:lncRNA from 1 species